GGUGAGUAACACGUGAGCAACCUGCCCCGGACUCUGGGAUAAGCGCUGGAAACGGCGUCUAAUACCGGAUAUGAACCACAGCCGCAUGGUUGGUGGUUGGAAAGAUUUUUUGGUUCGGGAUGGGCUCGCGGCCUAUCAGCUUGUUGGUGAGGUAAUGGCUCACCAAGGCGUCGACGGGUAGCCGGCCUGAGAGGGUGACCGGCCACACUGGGACUGAGACACGGCCCAGACUCCUACGGGAGGCAGCAGUGGGGAAUAUUGCACAAUGGGCGGAAGCCUGAUGCAGCAACGCCGCGUGAGGGAUGACGGCCUUCGGGUUGUAAACCUCUUUUAGCAAGGAAGAAGCGAAAGUGACGGUACUUGCAGAAAAAGCGCCGGCUAACUACGUGCCAGCAGCCGCGGUAAUACGUAGGGCGCAAGCGUUAUCCGGAAUUAUUGGGCGUAAAGAGCUCGUAGGCGGUUUGUCGCGUCUGCUGUGAAAACUGGAGGCUCAACCUCCAGCCUGCAGUGGGUACGGGCAGACUAGAGUGCGGUAGGGGAGAUUGGAAUUCCUGGUGUAGCGGUGGAAUGCGCAGAUAUCAGGAGGAACACCGAUGGCGAAGGCAGAUCUCUGGGCCGUAACUGACGCUGAGGAGCGAAAGGGUGGGGAGCAAACAGGCUUAGAUACCCUGGUAGUCCACCCCGUAAACGUUGGGAACUAGUUGUGGGGGCCAUUCCACGGUCUCCGUGACG
rnacentral:rRNA from 1 species